CGCGCAGUUUUGCUGCCAAUGAUGCUUUUUGUUUCCCGCUGCAUGGACACAGUCGCACAAGGACAGCCACACAGCCAUAUACACGCCCAUCGACACUCAUCUCUAUCCUUUGCGCCGAACUUCCUUUCUUUUCUUCCUUUCUGUUUUCCCCUGCUUCCAUCUUGGGCGCGCGUGCGAUGCGGGUGGGCGAGAGUCCAGCGAUUCUCUUCAUCACGACGGUGCUCAGCCACGUAGCGUUGCUUCCCACGCUGCACUUUUUUUACAGACGCAAAUACAUAUUUGAGUUGUGCUGCGCGAGCUUCGGUUUCCUCGCAUCCUUCAUGUACCACACAACGGAGAGCUUCGGUACGUCCAUCUUCCUUACUGAGGUAGAGUGGCACCGCCUCGACAACGUCGGCGUCAUCUCGAUAAUGGGGAUCUGGUACGUCUAUCUGUGCUGCUUUCAGAACCCCUACGUGGACAUGAGCUGCAAGUGUUUUUGCAUCUUUUUUACCCUUGUCGUGCAGCAGAAAAACCCGUGGGACGUGCGGUUCACCAUCUCACCAAUUCUGUUCUUCACUCUAUUUCCCGUCGUGAAGCACUGCCUCGUCGAGCAGCGCCUCCCCCCGUUUAGUGCCCGGCACCUGGGCUGCGGUGUCUUUCUUUUCUUUUUUGCUAUUAUCUUUUUCUUCCUCGGGCUUAACAAGCGCGCGGACAGGUACCGUAUGUACCACGGCGCAUGGCAUUUUUUUGGAGGCCUCUCCUCCUUCUUCUUGUGGGAAAUGGUAAAGACUCCUGGAUGCACAGGCAGCUACGGCAUCCAGCGUCGCGACUGCCCCCUGCGUGGGGACACCAUGGUGUAGCAUGAUGUAGUACACCCCUUUUCUCUUACCUUUUUUUUGCAUCUCCUUGCUUGUGCGAUCGAAACCACUGUGCCACUGACUCGGCGUUUGUGCUUCGGUGGGGACAUAUUGUGGUCUUAACCAGAGAAGAGCGUAAUAAAACCACUGUACUCUCUUUGAAUGCUGUGAUACUCUCCGUUUUUCUUUUUUCUAUAUUCUACUCGAGCAGUGGCUGCUGCGGCUGGUGCCCUCACGUAUGGCCUCGUACCUACAUGAGCACUCUUGUACACUUGAUCUGUAUCCCUAGUACUG
rnacentral:misc_RNA from 1 species